rnacentral:rRNA from 1 species
GGAUUAGAUACCCUGGUAGUCCACGCCGUAAACGAUGAAAACUAGCCGUUGGGAGCCUAUGAGCUCUUAGUGGCGCAGCUAACGCGUUAAGUUUUCCGCCUGGGGAGUACGGCCGCAAGGUUAAAACUCAAAGGAAUUGACGGGGGCCCGCACAAGCGGUGGAGCAUGUGGUUUAAUUCGAUGCAACGCGAAAAACCUUACCUACCCUUGACAUCCUUGGAAGCCUCUAGAGAUAGAAGUGUGCCUUCGGGAGCCAAGUGACAGGUGCUGCAUGGCUGUCGUCAGCUCGUGUUG